CACUGGCAUGGACACAGUUUGACUGUU
rnacentral:piRNA from 1 species